UACGUAGGGUGCGAGCGUUGUCCGGAAUUAUUGGGCGUAAAGAGCUUGUAGGUGGUUUGUCGCGUCUGCUGUGAAAAUCCGAGGCUCAACCUCGGACUUGCAGUGGGUACGGGGCAGACUAGAGUGUGGUAGGGGGAGACUGGAAUUCCUGGUGUAGCGGUGGAAUGCGCAGAUAUCAGGAGGAACACCGAUGGCGAAGGCAGAUCUCUGGGCCGUAACUGACGCUGGAUGCGCGAAAAGCCUAGGGGAGCAAACAGG
rnacentral:rRNA from 1 species